rnacentral:lncRNA from 1 species
GCCUCACUUCAAUAUUUCUGUUGCCACACGCAAUCCUGCACUGCCCAAAUGGGAUUUCUCCUAUUAAUGCAGCAAGACAAUUGUACAGGCUCAUUGCAGAUGCCAAGCAGAAGACCAGUAUUAUAACAUACACUAGCCACUUGUAGAAGAAAUAAAGUAAAAUCAGCAUGACACAACAGAUGACAACAAACAAGACAACUGUUAGAGUGGUGAGAGUGACAUUUUCCUCCUUCUUCCGCCUUGUUUCUCUGUCCCCAGGACUUGCCGUUGCUUUCAAAUUCUCAAGUUCUGCUACUCCGCUCCAGUAGGCCCCGAGUGCCACAGUGAACACAGCAAUGACAAAGAUGACAACCAUACUGCAAUCGAACUCCGGCAAAGGUGGUGAAUAGAGAGUCACACUAAUUUCAUUUCCAAGAGUCAGCUGCAUAUCCACUAUGUCAUUAUAUCUUAUAAGAGCAACUGGUAGAGAUAAAUUUUCAAAAUCGGUCUUGUUAUCUGAAGGAGGAGACAGCCUAGCUUUACUGGCAAUCAACAGCAUUUUAGCACCCAAACUUUGAGCAAUUCUUGCUUUCUCCAAAAAAGUGCAGUUUCCUCUCAUCACGACAACGGCUUUGUCCUUCAUUACAACAGCAGGAACUUUAGAAGAAUCACAGAGUACCGUAGAAGUCAGGUUUUCCAGAGACCUGAAAGUAGCAUUGUCCAGGCUGCUUGGGAGAGAUAUCCAGUUAGAAUUGUAGGCUAUGCAGUAAUCCUUUGUUAAGGGAGUCAUGCCAUUUCCAGAAGCGUGCAGGAUUCCCUCAUCUGCAUUUAUCGGCGGGAGCAGCGAUCCACACAGCGCGGCCCACAGCAGCACGGCGGCCCUCAUCUUCCUCGGCCGCCGCCACCCGCUCGGCUACGGGCCGCCCCGCGCCCGUCACGGAGCCUCGGCCGCCGGCUCCCGGGGAGGCUCCACUUCCUCUUCCGCCGGGGGCUGCCGCCGCCGGCCGGGACAGAGCGGCCCCUUCCCUCAGCGCGACGGGGACGGGCGGCCGCGGGCUUUGCCUGAGGGCGGCGCUGCGCUGCGCUGCGCGGGGCCUGGCUGCCCGCUGAGCCGGCUGCGGGGCUCGGGGCUGUUGGCGGCCGGGAGGCGCGAAGGAUCUCUGUGAGCGCUCCGUGUAGCCGGGCUGCCCGCCUUCCCGGCAGCGCGUCCUCUCGUGCCGUGCCUUCGCUGUGACUGUGUGUGCAGGCAGCAGCUAGUUUUGCACCUGACAGCUCCAAGGCGUUGGGCUUCUGUUACCUCACGCUGCCAUUGCAAACAAAAGGGAACAACAACUGUCGCCCCAUGUCUCCACAGACAGUGUUUUGUCUCGCUGCACUCUUUUGGGGUGAUGUGGGUGCAAACACGAAGCCAUGAGAGAGCAGCAGAAGGGCAGCGGGCUGCAAAGCACGGCCUGCAGGAGGUGCCUGAGGGAUCAGGCUGAGAGUGUUUCGGAGAAAGUGGUUUUUUUCCAGAUCUGAGAGCGCUGGGACUGUGAUGUGCGUGCUGUGAGAACCGCUGUGACCCACAGGAAGGAGGCACACUGAAGCAGCUCAGUGAUUUACCACUGAGGAAGUUGUGCAACAUCCUUCAGUGAAGGCGUUUAGGAGCUUUAGGCCCUUCCCAAAGGGCCUGGGCCUGACUUGGGCCCAGUGUGCGUGAGAAAGCAGAGGGACAAAGAUAAGGUUGAUGUGACCAUGAGAGAGAACACAGGAGCAAUGGAAAACAAGAGACAAGAGAGAUAAGCUGUGGUCCAGCUGCACUCAGUCAAAGUCUCAGCAGAGGAAGAUGCUUGCUUGCACCACUCAUGCACCAACUGUGGUUGUUACAACCACUGGAGAGGGAAGUUCCACAUGUAUGCCUUUCCUUCUGCGUGAAUUUAAGGACAAGGCCUUGUAAAGUAUCUCCAGGGAACACUUCCUGCUGCACUGUGGCAAAUGUUCAGUAAACGGCUCUGUUGCUGCAAACAUCAGAGCAGUCACAUACUGGCCAUUAUCAUCGCUGUGUGAGCACAGCAAAGGCACCAUGGCCCCACAGGAGCACGCAGAAAUCAAAGCUGU